GGAGUCCAACGUGUGCGCGAGUCGCUGGGUGAAAAACCCAAUGGCGUAAUUAAGGUGAAGGGAAGUUCUCUUUCCUAGGGAGGAGGGGAGCCCGCCUUUAACGGGUGGUUCCUCGCACUCCCGGGGCGUCUCUUGCUCAUUGCGAGCUGAGGCGCACCUAGAGCGUUCACGUUGGGACCCGAAAGAUGGUGAACUAUGCCUGGCCAGGACGAAGCCAGGGGAAACCCUGGUGGAGGUCCGUAGCGGUUCUGACGUGCAAAUCGAUCGUCGGAGCUGGGUAUAGGGGCGAAAGACUAAUCGAACCAUCUAGUAGCUGGUUCCCUCCGAAGUUUCCCUCAGGAUAGCUGGCGCCCAUGUGAGACGAGUCUCAUCUGGUAAAGCGAAUGAUUAGAGGCCUUGGGGUCGAAACGACCUCAACCUAUUCUCAAACUUUAAAUGGAUGAGAACCCCGGCUUGCUUGGCUUUGAGUGAAGCCGGGGCUCGGAUCCGGGUACCAAGUGGGCCAUUUUUG
rnacentral:rRNA from 1 species